GGAAAUAGAGUCUGAAAUACAGACGCAACGACCCAUUUUCUUGUCCCAAAAUCUCCAUAAGAAAGCAAGUAUCCUUUGCUUCUUCAGUUGAACCUCGAGAUGGCUUCAUCAAUGGGAACCAUGGUGGUGGCUUUGCCAAAAACACAGAAGAACCAAGCUCACACCUUCCUAUCCCAACUACCAAACACCCUAAAACCCAAACCCACCAAAACUUUAAAAACUUACACCACCAACUUUACAUGCAGUGCCACGCUUUCAUCUACUCUGCAGAGCACUCAGAAGCAAGAAGAAGAGAAGAAACAAAAACCACUAGCGGAGGUGUGGCGCAAGAUCCACGGGGAGGACAACUGGGCCGGCCUUCUGGAUCCCAUGGAUCCCGUAAUGCGGGCCGAGCUUAUCCACUACGGGGAGAUGGCCCAGGCCUGCUACGACGCCUUCGACUACGAUCCCUACUCCAAAUACUGCGGCAGCUGCAGGUUCUCCGUACCGGAAUUCUUCCAAUCCCUGGACAUGCCCAACGUCGGAUACACCAUCACACGUUAUCUCUACGCGACGGCCAACAUCAAGCUCCCUAAAUUAUUCCGCAAAUCGCGGUGGCCCGACAAGAGGUGGAGCAAGCACGCGAACUGGGCAGGGU
rnacentral:lncRNA from 1 species